UACGUAGGGCGCGAGCGUUGUCCGGAAUUAUUGGGCGUAAAGAGCUCGUAGGCGGCCUGUUGCGUCCGCUGUGAAAUCCCGGGGCUCAACCCCGGGCGUGCAGUGGAUACGGGCAGGCUGGAGGCGGGCAGGGGAGAACGGAAUUCCCGGUGUAGCGGUGAAAUGCGCAGAUAUCGGGAGGAACACCGGUGGCGAAGGCGGUUCUCUGGGCCUGUGCUGACGCUGAGGAGCGAAAGCGUGGGGAGCGAACAGG
rnacentral:rRNA from 1 species